rnacentral:rRNA from 1 species
AAUCAACGCUGGCGGCGUGCCUCAGACAUGCAAGUCGAACGCGAAAGUUUCCUUCGGGAAGCGAGUAGAGUGGCGUCCGGGUGAGUAACACGUAGGUAAUCUACCUUUGGGUGGGGAAUAACAACCGGAAACGGUUGCUAAUACCGCAUAAUGCAGCGGCACCACAUGGUGACAGUUGUUAAAGCGGGGGAUCGCAAGACCUCGCGCCUAAAGAGGAGCCUGCGGCGGAUUAGGCUAGNGGUAAGGUAACGGCUUACCAAGGCAACGAUCCGUAGCCGGCCUGAGAGGGCGGUCGGCCACACUGACACUGAAUACGGGUCAGACUCCUACGGGAGCAGCAGUCGGGAAUUUUGGCAAUGGGCGAAAGCCUGACCCAGCAACGCCGCGUGAAGGAU